GGCCCGGUGGCUCAGUUGGUUAGAGCGCUGCCCUGUCACGGCAGAGGUCAGGGGUUCGAGUCCCCUUCGGGUCG
rnacentral:tRNA from 1 species